rnacentral:misc_RNA from 1 species
UCAAACUUGGUCAUUUAGAGGAAGUAAAAGUCGUAACAAGGUUUCCGUAGGUGAACCUGCGGAAGGAUCAUUAGAGAAUCAUUGAUACGGGGUGUCUGCCCCGUAUCAACCCACUCUAUUUCACCCCUUGUGAACUGGUUGAUCGGUCGAAGAGUCUUGCACUCGUCGGUCGAGGGUGUGCUGUCAUGGCCACCCGAAUCACCCUUUUUUAUAAAACCAAUAGUGUGUUGAAUGGCACGCCACAUGGCGAUGUUGAAACCACAUACAACUUUCAGCAACGGAUCUCUAGGCUCUCGCAUCGAUGAAGAACGCAGC